rnacentral:rRNA from 1 species
UUCCAUACUCCUACUUUAUUCAUCAGUUUUUAAUAUUUCACAAUUUUUUAAACCCUGAUGCAUCUACUCCUCUUUAGUUAGGAAUUAUUUCUGUAUUUAAAUCUCUAUCAGCAUGGAAUAAAAUUACUGUACCUUACUAAGAAGCCCCGGCUAACUACGUGCCAGCAUCCGCGUUAAUACGUAGUGGGCAAGCGUUAUCCGGAUUUACUGGGUGUAAAGGGAGAGUAGACGGCUAAUCAAGUCAGAAGUGAAAAACCAGGGCUCAAACUUGGGAGUGAUUUUGAAAAUGAGUAGAUAGAGUGAAGGAGAGGUAAGAGGAAUUAAUAGUGUAGAGGUGAAAUGAGUAGAUAUUAGGAGGAAAAACAGUGGAGAAGGAGGAUUAAUGGAAUGUAACUGAAGUUGAGGAUAGAAAGAGUGGGGAGAAAAAAGGAUUAGAUAAAAAUGUAAA